CCCUUAGAUGUCCUGGGCUGCACGCGCGCUACACUGAUGUGUCCAGUAAGCACCUAACCUCUUCCGAAAGGAACGGGUAACCUUUGCAAAGCACAUCGUGAUGGGGAUAGAUUAUUGCAAUUAUUAGUCUUGAACGAGGAAUUCCUAGUAAGCACAAGUCAUCAGCUUGUGUUGAUUACGUCCCUGCCCUUAGUACACACCGCCCGUCGCUCCUACCGAUUGAAUGUUCCGGUGAGCUCUUCGGACUGCGCGGUCUGCAGUUUCUGCGUUCCGUGCGGAAAGUUGCGCAAACCUUAACAUUUAGAGGAAGGAGAAGUCGUAACA
rnacentral:rRNA from 1 species